rnacentral:sRNA from 1 species
UGUUAUUUAGGCAGUUUAUUGAAAUAGCCAUCAGUACUAACGAAAAUAAAUCAUUGUCAUUGGUAUGAAAUAGCAAGUUUGGGUAGCGCAGCGGUUGCCUAUCCGAAUCAAAAUAAGAAAAUGGAGAAUAGCUAUUAUGGCUACAACGACAGGUCGCGUUAAAUGGUUUAAUGAAAAGAAAGGCUUCGGCUUCAUCGAACGUUCAGGCGGCUCAGAUGUAUUUGUUCACUUUAGAGCAAUUCAAGGCGAUGGGUUUAAAACGCUUGCCGAUGGUCAAGAAGUACAGUUUGAAGUUGAAGACGGACCCAAAGGCCCACAAGCACUUAACGUCACUGCGCUGUAGAAGAUUCUAGUUUAUAACUAAUCUUCAUGAAUAGGCUGCCUC